rnacentral:rRNA from 1 species
UACAGAGGGGGCAAGCGUUGUUCGGAAUUACUGGGCGUAAAGGGCGCGUAGGCGGCCUGUUAAGUCGAACGUGAAAUCCCCGGGCUCAACCCGGGAACUGCGUCCGAUACUGGCAGGCUUGAAUCCGGGAGAGGGAUGCGGAAUUCCAGGUGUAGCGGUGAAAUGCGUAGAUAUCUGGAGGAACACCGGUGGCGAAGGCGGCAUCCUGGACCGGUACUGACGCUGAGGCGCGAAAGCGUGGGGAGCAAACAGG